AAGAUUUGGGUACCCAAGAACCUUUCAGAGUGGAAAACCUGUACAGUUGAAUGUGAAAGCUCUCUCAGCCUUGCCCAUCAAUGCACUCCCCUUCCUGCCAGUGCUCUUGGCAUCUUUCCGCUCCUGGAACAGUUAUUUGGGCAUUGUUGUUUACUUCCUUGGAGACAGCACCUAAUGUACAAUCAAAAUCAAUGGCAAAACCUUCAUGAACUUCCAGGAAAAACAGAUCCAGUCUAUACGUUGAAUACGAAGAAGUGUGCUGAUGAAACUUUCUGAUGAAAUCUACUAAGGACGCUAAUUUAGGAAACACCAGAAGCAAACAGGAAGAACUUGUAGACUUGACGUAAAGGUUUGACAGAGCAAGUGUGGGAAGCCACCAUCACAUACUUGUCCUGUAAUUGAGGAGCUCAUUGACUGGAAACAAGCAACGAGAUGAAAAGUUCUGUGUCUACAGGUUGAUGGCAGGAUGACAACGGACUUGCAGAAUGAUGCAUCCAUAAAAAAAAAAAAAAAAAAAAAAGAAAUGUGAUAUUAAGACAUGCAAGGCCAUUCCCUUGCACAAUUCCUUCAUAGGCUACUGGCGUAGUAUGAAAUGGUGCUCAAUUCUGUGUUUAAGAAAGAUGAGCUUCAAUGAGAGCCAGCACACUGAAGGGUUAAUCAAAGACUGCUGAGAAUAGGGAAAAAAAAAAAAAAAAGAUUUAAAGAAUUUUGCAUUGUUUGGUCUAGCAAACCUAAAGCCUAGGCAUUUUUUAAUAAACACUAUUGAGAGAAAAACUAGCCAUGAAUCAAUUUAGGAUGGAGAUUAAGAUUUCU